UUAGAAAAAAAAUGUUUAUAUCCUAUUUAAUUUUGGAACGGAGUACGUACGCGGUCAAAUCCAAAACCCUCGAGGUGGUUCCGCCCACCGCCGCCGCUUGCUGCCGCCACCGUCGUCCACCACUGCCGUUUCCCCCUGUCACCAGCCACUAGCGACAGUCCGUUCCAGCCGUCAUGGCCUACCACCCACCACCGUCUCUCACCGCCGCUGCCCACCACUGCCGUCGCCAAACGCCCGCCGGCGCUCCGUUGCAGCCACCAGGGCGUACUGGUCGCCACCGCCGCGCCGUUCUAUCUGCUGAUUUGUGGGCGAUUUGGGAUGGGAUCAGACUUCAAUCGGCUGAUUCAAUGGGCCAAAAAAGGAUUGAUCUUCCAUGUGGAGCCUCGAGGCAGAUCGAUUUAGUUGAGGCUGUGCUGCUACUUCAACAAGGGCAUCUCUUAGCAGAAUAGAGGAAAAACUUGUGGUUCUGUUAUUUUGACAUCUGUGUUAAUUGAUUCUCAUGAAUGUUGGUUAUGGCUGAAGCAUCCCAUGUAACUACAAGUGUUCUGCUGUUCCAUUGCAUAAUCAGAAGACAAUUUUGUUCACAGACUUCAAUGUUUAUUAGGGGCAUUACUGCAAGAUGAACCUGCUGAACUUGAAAUAUCAUGGUAUUCUUGAUGACUGAAAGCCUCUUCACAAACAGUGAUAUAUUUUCAAUUCAAAUGGCCAGAUAACCCACAGCAUUAAUUUUCAUAUGCUAUGCGUUGGAAUUACUAUUUCCAUGAUCAAUAGUCGACCCCAUGUUGGUAUGUGAAGAUGAUGAUAAACAACUGAAUGGUUCAUCGAAUCUGGAGCAAUGGGGAGAUGCUAUGCCUGUUUAUGACACUCUAGCUGAAAUUGUACUAGUUGAGGAAUUGUAGUUAUAAUUGUACACUGUUUCUAUAACAAGUUCUAUUGUAUGAUGUAAAUUAUCACUUGAAUGAAUAAAAUGUGUGUUUUCUUUGA